UAGUCCAUGCCGUAAACGAUGGAUACUAGUCGUCGGGACACCUAAUUGUUUCGGUGACGUCGCUAACGCUUUAAGUAUCCCGCCUGGGGAGUACGGUCGCAAGAUUAAAACUCAAAGGAAUUGACGGGGGCCCGCACAAGCGGUGGAGCAUGUGGUUUAAUUCGAUGCUACGCGAAGAACCUUACCUAGAUUUGACAUCCUGUGCUACCCUGUGAAAGCAGGGGUUCCUUCGGGACGCAGUGACAGGUGCUGCAUGGCUGUCGUCAGCUCGUGUUGUGAGAUGUUGGGUUAAGUCCCGCAACGAGCGCAACCCUCGUCGUUAGUUACCAUCAUUAAGUUGGGCACUCUAACGAUACCGCUAGGCUAUAAGCCAGAGGAAGGUGGGGAUGACGUCAAGUCCUCAUGGCCUUUAUAUCUAGGGCUACACACGUGCUACAAUGGGAUAGGACAAAGCGCAGCUAACUCGCGAGAGUGUGCCAAUCGCAAAAACCUACCCUCAGUUCGGAUUGG
rnacentral:rRNA from 1 species